rnacentral:miRNA from 1 species
UACCCGUAGUGCCAUCACCGUU